rnacentral:rRNA from 1 species
GAUGAACGCUGGCGGCGUGCCUAAUACAUGCAGGUCGAGCGAACGGACGAGAAGCUUGCUUCUCUGAUGUUAGCGGCGGACGGGUGAGUAACACGUGGAUAACCUACCUAUAAGACUGGGAUAACUUCGGGAAACCGGAGCUAAUACCGGAUAAUAUUUUGAACCGCAUGGUUCAAAAGUGAAAGACGGUCUUGCUGUCACUUAUAGAUGGAUCCGCGCUGCAUUAGCUAGUUGGUAAGGUAACGGCUUACCAAGGCAACGAUGCAUAGCCGACCUGAGAGGGUGAUCGGCCACACUGGAACUGAGACACGGUCCAGACUCCUACGGGAGGCAGCAGUAGGGAAUCUUCCGCAAUGGGCGAAAGCCUGACGGAGCAACGCCGCGUGAGUGAUGAAGGUCUUCGGAUCGUUAAACUCUGUUAUUAGGGAAGAACAUAUGUGUAAGUAACUGUGCACAUCUUGACGGUACCUAAUCAGAAAGCCACGGCUAACUACGUG